rnacentral:rRNA from 1 species
CAGUCGCCACGGUAAUACGGAGGGUGCAAGCGUUAAUCGGAAUUACUGGGCGUAAAGCGCACGCAGGCGGUCUGACAAGUCAGAUGUGAAAUCCCCGGGCUUAACCUGGGAACUGCAUUUGAAACUGUCAGGCUGGAGUCUUGUAGAGGGGGGUGGAAUUCCAGGUGUAGCGGUGAAAUGCGUAGAGAUCUGGAGGAAUACCGGUGGCGAAGGCGGCCCCCUGGACAAAGACUGACGCUCAGGUGCGAAAGCGUGGGGAGCAAACAGGAUUAGAUACCCGGGUAGUCCCUGUCUCUUAUAA